UACGGAGGGGGCUAGCGUUGUUCGGAAUUACUGGGCGUAAAGCGCGCGUAGGCGGACCUGCAAGUCGGGGGUGAAAGCCCGAGGCUCAACCUCGGAACUGCCUUCGAUACUGCGGGUCUCGAGUCCGGGAGAGGUGAGUGGAAUUCCUAGUGUAGCGGUGAAAUGCGCAGAUAUCAGGAAGAACACCCGUGGCGAAAGCGGCGCUCUGGAACGGUACUGACGCUGAGACGCGAAAGCGUGGGGAGCGAACAGG
rnacentral:rRNA from 1 species